rnacentral:rRNA from 1 species
UACGUAGGGUGCGAGCGUUGCCCGGAUUUAUUGGGCGUAAAGGGCGCGUAGGCGGCCACGCACGUCCGUUGUGAAAUCGCCCGGCUCAACUGGGCGGGGUCAGCGGAUACGGUGUGGCUCGAGCAAGCUAGGGGGCAAUGGAAUUCCCGGUGUAGUGGUGGAAUGCGUAGAGAUCGGAAGGAACACCAGUGGCGAAGGCGGCUACCUGGACAAAUACUGACGCUGAUGCGCGAAAGCGUGGGGAUCAAACAGG